CGGCCUUCUNGGACUGACACUGACACUGAGGUNGCGAAANGCGUGGGUAGCAAANAGGAUUAGNAUACCCUGGUAGUCCACGCCGUAAACGAUGUUGACCAGCCGUUGGGUGCCUAGCGCACUUUGUGGCGAAGUUAACGCGAUAAGUCGACCGCCUGGGGAGUACGGCCGCAAGGUUAAAACUCAAAUGAAUUGACGGGGGCCCGCACAAGCGGUGGAGCAUGUGGUUUAAUUCGAUGCAACGCGAAGAACCUUACCUACUCUUGACAUCCUGCGAAUUUGGUAGAGAUACCUUAGUGCCUUCGGGAACGCAGAGACAGGUGCUGCAUGGCUGUCGUCAGCUCGUGUUGUGAAAUGUUGGGUUAAGUCCCGUAACGAGCGCAACCCUUGUCCUUAUUUGCCAGCGCGUAAUGGCGGGAACUCUAAGGAGACUGCCGGUGACAAACCGGAGGAAGGUGGGGACGACGUCAAGUCAUCAUGGCCCUUACGAGUAGGGCUACACACGUGCUACAAUGGUCGGUACAAAGGGUUGCCAACUCGCGAGAGUGAGCCAAUCCCGAAAAGCCGAUCUCAGUCCGGAUCGGAGUCUGCAACUCGACUCCGUGAAGUCGGAAUCGCUAGUAAUCGUGGAUCAGAAUGCCACGGUGAAUACGUUCCCGGGCCUUGUACACACCGCCCGUCACACCAUGGGAGUGGACUGCACCAGAAGUGGUUAGCCUAACGCAAGAGGGCGAUCACCACGGUGUGGUUCAUGACUNGGGGUGAAGUCGUAACAAGGUAANCC
rnacentral:rRNA from 1 species